rnacentral:rRNA from 1 species
UGGCGAACGGGUGAGUAACACGUGGGCAACCUGCCCAAAAGAGGGGGAUAACACUUGGAAACAGGUGCUAAUACCGCAUAACCAUAGUUACCGCAUGGUAACUAUGUAAAAGGUGGCUAUGCUACCGCUUUUGGAUGGGCCCGCGGCGCAUUAGCUAGUUGGUGGGGGUAAAAGGCUUACCAAGGCAAUGAUGCGUAGCCAACUGAGAGGUUGAUCGGCCACAUUGGGACUGAGACACGGCCCAAACUCCUACGGGAGGCAGCAG